rnacentral:rRNA from 1 species
UAGGGAAUCUUCCACAAUGGACGCAAGUCUGAUGGAGCAACGCCGCGUGAGGGAAGAAGGUUUUCGGAUCGUAAAGCUCUGUUGUUGGGGAAGAAGGAUAGAGGCAGUAACUGGUCUUUAUUUGACGGUAAUCAACCAGAAAGUCACGGCUAACUACGUGCCAGCAGCCGCGGUAAUACGUAGGUGGCAAGCGUUGUCCGGAUUUAUUGGGCGUAAAGCGAGCGCAGGCGGAAUGAUAAGUCUGAUGUGAAAGCCCACGGCUCAACCGUGGAACUGCAUCGGAAACUGUCAUUCUUGAGUGCAGAAGAGGAGAGUGGAAUUCCAUGUGUAGCGGUGGAAUGCGUAGAUAUAUGGAAGAACACCAGUGGCGAAGGCGGCUCUCUGGUCUGCAACUGACGCUGAGGCUCGAAAGCAUGGGUAGCGAACAGG